ensembl:lncRNA
AAAUGCGUGAUUUUCGUGUGCAAGGUGGUACUUUCGGGAAGAAAAUGUGUGAUUUCCGUGAGAAAAGUGGUAGUUCUGGAGAGAAAACGCGUGAUUUUGGGGUGAAUGGUGCUAUUUUCUUGGCGAAAACGUGAUAUUUCUGUUUGAGAAGUGGUAUUUUCUGGAGGAAAAAGCGUAAUUUUCGACUGAAAGGGUACUUUCGGGGUGAAAAUGCGUGCUUUGUGAGUGAAGCGUGUUAUAUUUGGGGUAGAAAUGUGUUAUUUCCCAGCGAAAAGUGGUAUUUUCGGGAAGGAAGUGCAGAAUUUUUGGGAGACAGGUGGUAUUUUUGGAUGAAAAUGCAUGAUUUUCGAGAGAAAAGUGGUAUUUCUCGAGAGAAAAUGCGUGAUUUUGGGGUGAAAGGCGGUAUAUUUGGGGGAGAAAUGUGUUAUUUCCCAGCGAAAAGUGGUAUUUUCGGGAAGGAAGUGCAGAAUUUUUGGGAGACAGGUGGUAUUUUUGGAUGAAAAUGCAUGAUUUUCGAAAGAAAAAUGGUAUAUUUGGGGUAGAAAUGCGUUAUUACCCAGCGACAAGUGGUGUUUUCGCGCAGAAAAUGCGUGAUUUUCGUGAGAAAAGUGGUAUUUCUCGAGAG